UACGGAGGAUGCGAGCGUUAUCCGGAUUUAUUGGGUUUAAAGGGUGCGUAGGCGGUCUGUUAAGUCAGCGGUAAAAUUGCGGGGCUCAACCCCGUCGAGCCGUUGAAACUGGCAGACUUGUGUUGGCGAGAAGUACGCGGAAUGCGCGGUGUAGCGGUGAAAUGCAUAGAUAUCGCGCAGAACUCCGAUUGCGAAGGCAGCGUACCGGCGCCACACUGACGCUGAGGCACGAAAGCGUGGGGAUCGAACAGG
rnacentral:rRNA from 1 species